GGAAACAAAUGCUAAUACCGUAUAAUAAUUAAACCGCAUGGUUUUAGUUUAAAGAUGGUCUUGCUAUCACUAAGAGAUGGUCCCGCGGUGUAUUAGUUAGUUGGUGAGGUAAUGGCUCACCAAGACAAUGAUACAUAGCCGAGUUGAGAGACUGACCGGCCACAAUGGGACUGAGACACGGCCCAUACUCCUACGGGAGGCAGCAGUAGGGAAUCUUCCACAAUGGACGAAAGUCUGAUGGAGCAACGCCGCGUGUGUGAUGAAGGGUUUCGGCUCGUAAAACACUGUUGUAAGAGAAGAAUGACAUUGAGAGUAACUGUUCAAUGUGUGACGGUAUCUUACCAGAAAGGAACGGCUAAAUACGUG
rnacentral:rRNA from 1 species